UAUUAUUUAUUUUAUUUGAGAUAAUUUAUGAAAUUAUAUUUUUUUUCAAUUUCAUUCUCAUUCAACUUUUUAAUUUGUAAGAUUUGUUCCUCAUUGUUUUAAUAAACUUGAGAAAAAUAAAACAUUAGUAAGUUAUUUUCCAGCUCAUUUUUCAUGACAUAACCAAACACUGGAAAGUGUUUUUCAAUUUAUUUUCCAUUACACUACCAAACAUCAGAAAAUAAUUCACUUUCCCGGAAUUCACUUUUCAAAAAGAAACUACUUUCCAAAAGAAAACUACUUUCCAGCAAACAAACGGGGCCUUAGUAACAAACCAAACAUAAGGUGUGCUGUGGGCUGAUGCUUUGCUGUGGGCCGGGUUGAUUUUUUUUAUAGUAUAAAAAAACAAUGUUCAAGCACUGUUAUUAGAUUUUAAAGAACAAAAAAAAAAAUCCAAGACUCGACACCUUAGAAAAAGAGCUAAAAAAAUAAUGAUCGUCAAUCCCUUAAAAUAAAAAUGUAGAAAGAUAAAAUCAGGAAAAAAAAUCAAUGAAAAAAGUAUUAAAAAACAAAGCACGAGCAAAAACAAAUGUGGUUGUCAAAACCCACGAGUAGAACCAAAUGGAUAUGAUAACUCAAUAUAAAAAAAAAUAGAAAAAAAAGUUUAGUUGUAAAAAUAAUUGAAAUUUGAAGGACAAGAUAAAAAAGGAUGAAAAAGCGACAUUCAAAAAAACCUAGGUCACCCGAAUAAACCUCCUACGUGGAUCAUGAGAUAGGAAAAACCUGAUUGAAAAGGAAAAUAAAAAAAUAACGAUCAUUAAAAUAAACCUAUGGAACAUUAAUCAACUGUAAGACAACCAAAAACCUGGGUUGAACCAUGUUUUGGUUAACUCGUGGAAAAUCCAAUCAAAAUAAGGUCAAAACCUAUCGAUUAUUUUCCUCCUUUUUUUUAAUUCAAAAUGGUAUCAUUUUGAAUUUUUUAUACCACAAAAAAGAUUUAGUUGACUUAGGUUCACUCAAGUCAACCCACUCAACCUGUGACCUGAUAAUUGUCCCAGAUAUACUCUUGGAUAUGGCAUAGAAAAAAUAGAAAAAACCAAGGAGAUCAAAUCCCUAUAAAUAAAGUAUCGAAUGAUGAAAUAAAAAAUUUAAAGGAUUAGAAAAAGCAUUUGAGAGAGUACGGACCUCAUUUGAAAAGAAAAAAAAACUAAAAGGAUAAACAAAAAAUUUGAAUUGAAUGGCAAAAUUGAAAUAAAAAACAUAUUAACAAAUGAAUCCAAAUUAAAAAAUAAAAACCAAGAGAAUGAGGACUAAAUCUUAAAAAAAUAAAAAAAAUCAAGAUUAUGGAUAUAAGGAUGAAAUUGAAUAAAAAUUAAAACAUGUUAAAAAAAGUGAAGGAUAAAAAAUAAAAAAUCAAAACAUUGAUGGUCAAAUUUCAAAUAUCAUCAAAUAUUGAAUUGAAAAGAAAAAUUAAAAAGAAAAAUCAUAUUCACAAAAGAAUAAAAAAGAAAAGAAAACCAAUUUCAAACAAACUUAAUGAUGAUGGAUGCAAUUUUUAUUCUUUUUUAAAUGACUAAAGCCAACUCGAUUCAACUAUAAGAACUGGUGAUAUGGAAUAUGAGGCCAGAUUACAACAUAAAAAGUAAAUCCAAAAAAAUAACAAUGCAAAAUCCCCAACCAACCAAAAUAAUUAGAGAUAAACUUGAAAAAACAAAUUAAAAAAAAAGUGGUUUAAAAAAUAUAGACUUGAAAAGAAAGAGAACCAAAUUUGACAUAAAAAAUAAAAGAAAAUUAUAAGAAAUGAAAUUGAGAAACAAUUUCCAUAAAGAAAAGGAUAAGAACAACUAAAAUUAACAAUAAAAAGAGUGAGGAUCAUAUUUGAUACAAAAAAAUAUCAAGGGACGAAAUUCAAAGACAAAUUAAUUUAAUUCAAGCAGAAAGGCAUAGAAGCUCCAAACAUAGAAAUCGAGGUGGAGGAUUGCGAGGAGUAUACCGUAAGUUUCUCUUUCUAUGUGAUUAGUGGCAGCUAUCUCUCCCAUAGUGCACAUGGUGGUAGAGAAUUCUGGAGCCACUUUGAAGCAUCUCAGCUGAAGGAGGAUGCGACCAUCUAUGAAAGGUGAAAACACCUUAGAUGGAAGGUGUGUGAGGGCCGUAAUAGAAGCCCCAGUUCAGACCGCCUCAUGACAACAGGCGAAGACACCUUAGAGAAGGUGUGAGGGCCAUGAUAGGAGCCCCAAUUCAGACCGCCGCAUGACGAUGAAUUUUGCGUUUCGAAUUAUCUCUUGAUGAUAUAACGUUUCAAAGUCUCUGGAAAACAUCCAAUUCAGUGGUAAUCGGUGCGGAAAAGCUCGCCAGGCAAUUGCGGUCAUUGGGAUUGAAGAAACGAUGGGAGAUGAUAAAUGAAGUUUGGAUAGAAAUGGUAGCUUAUGCAGCAGCUCAUUGUCCAUGGAAAGAACAUACUCAUCAACUGAGAAGAGGUGGAGAGUUACUCACUCAUGUCUUCCUUCUCAUGCUACAUCUUGGUUUGAGCGAACAGUACGAGUUUAAAGGAUUUGACGGUGAGGAAGUUUUUGUCAUCGGCCUUAUACAGAUAUUUGGCUAAAACUGCGGACACGCCACUGUCAGGUCCCGAUGAGGAGGUGGAUGAAGAACAUCUCCCGGCGUUAAUUCAAAAGAUUGGAUAAUGGAGGUGGAGGUGGAAGAACUUAAACAGGUGGUGGCAGCUAAAGAACAAAAUCUUCAGCACAGAGGAUUGGCGCUUUUUGUUAUGAUCAAUGGAAUAAGAGUAAUUAUGAUCAAUGGAAUAAGAGUACUUGCUUUUUGUUAA